rnacentral:rRNA from 1 species
GAGUUUGAUCUUGGCUCAGAUUGAACGCUGGCGGCAGGCCUAACACAUGCAAGUCGAGCGGAUGACGGGAGCUUGCUCCUUGAUUCAGCGGCGGACGGGUGAGUAAUGCCUAGGAAUCUGCCUGGUAGUGGGGGACAACGUUUCGAAAGGAACGCUAAUACCGCAUACGUCCUACGGGAGAAAGCAGGGGACCUUCGGGCCUUGCGCUAUCAGAUGAGCCUAGGUCGGAUUAGCUAGUUGGUGGGGUAAUGGCUCACCAAGGCGACGAUCCGUAACUGGUCUGAGAGGAUGAUCAGCCACACUGGAACUGAGACACGGUCCAGACUCCUACGGGAGGCAGCAGUGGGGAAUUUUGGACAAUGGGGGCAACCCUGAUCCAGCCAUGCCGCGUGAGUGAAGAAGGCCUCGGUUGUAA